rnacentral:rRNA from 1 species
AGCACCACAACGGGUGGAGCUUGCGGUUUAAUUGGAUUCAACGCCGAAAAUCUUACCGGGACCGACAGCAAUAUGAAGGCCAGGCUGAAGACUUUGCCGGAUUAGCUGAGAGGUGGUGCAUGGCCGUCGUCAGUUCGUACUGUGAAGCAUCCUGUUAAGUCAGGCAACGAGCGAGACCCACGCCCACAGUUGCCAGCGUACUCUCUGGAGUGACGGGUACACUGUGGGGACCGCCGCUGCUAAAGCGGAGGAAGGAAUGGGCAACGGUAGGUCAGUAUGCCCCGAAUAUCCCGGGCUACACGCGAGCUACAAUGGUUGGUACAAUGGGUAUCUACCCCGAAAGGGGACGGGAAUCUCCUAAAACCAAUCUUAGUUCGGAUUGAGGGCUGCAACUCGCCCUCAUGAAGCUGGAAUCCGUAGUAAUCGCGUUUCAACAGAACGCGGUGAAUACGUCCCUGCUCCUU